rnacentral:rRNA from 1 species
GAUGAACGCUGGCGGCGUGCCUAAUACAUGCAAGUCGAGCGAACUGAUUAGAAGCUUGCUUCUAUGACGUUAGCGGCGGACGGGUGAGUAACACGUGGGCAACCUGCCUGUAAGACUGGGAUAACUUCGGGAAACCGAAGCUAAUACCGGAUAGGAUCUUCUCCUUCAUGGGAGAUGAUUGAAAGAUGGUUUCGGCUAUCACUUACAGAUGGGCCCGCGGUGCAUUAGCUAGUUGGUGAGGUAACGGCUCACCAAGGCAACGAUGCAUAGCGGACCUGAGAGGGUGAUCGGCCACACUGGGACUGGGACACGGCCCAGACUCCUCCGGGAGGCAGCAGUAGGGAAUCUUCCGCAAUGGACGAAAGUCUGACGGAGCAACGCCGCGUGAGUGAUGAAGGCUUUCGGGUCGUAAAACUCUGUUGUUAGGGAAGAACAAGUACGAGAGUAACUGCUCGUACCUUGACGGUACCUAACCAGAAAGCCACGGCUAACUACGUGCCAGCCGCCGCCGUAA